rnacentral:rRNA from 1 species
UACCAGCACCCCGAGUGGUCGGGACGAUUAUUGGGCCUAAAGCAUCCGUAGCCGGCCUUACAAGUCCUCCGUUAAAUCCAGCUGCUUAACAGAUGGGCUGCGGAGGAUACUAUAAGACUAGGAGGCAGGAGAGGCAAGCGGUACUCAGUGGGUAGGGGUAAAAUCCGUUGAUCCAUUGAAGACCACCAGUGGCGAAGGCGGCUUGCCAGAAUGCGCUCGACGGUGAGGGGUGAAAGCUGGGGGAGCAAACCGG